AUUGAACGCUGGCGGAACGCUUUACACAUGCAAGUCGAACGGCAGCACGGGUGCUUGCACCUGGUGGCGAGUGGCGAACGGGUGAGUAAUACAUCGGAACGUACCCAGUUGUGGGGGAUAACUAACCGAAAGGUUAGCUAAUACCGCAUACGACCUGAGGGUGAAAGCGGGGGACCGUAAGGCCUCGCGCAAUUGGAGCGGCCGAUGUCUGAUUAGCUAGUUGGUAGGGUAAAGGCCUACCAAGGCGACGAUCAGUAGCUGGUCUGAGAGGAUGAUCAGCCACACUGGAACUGAGACACGGUCCAGACUCCUACGGGAGGCAGCAGUGGGGAAUUUUGGACAAUGGGCGAAAGCCUGAUCCAGCCACUCCGCGUGAGUGAAGAAGGCCUUCGGGUUGUAAAGCUCUUUCGGCAGGGAAGAAACGGCCUAGGUUAAUACCUUGGGCUAAUGACGGUACCUGAAGAAGAAGCACCGGCUAACUACGUGCCAGCAGCCGCCGCCG
rnacentral:rRNA from 1 species